UGGAAUGGAUUGUAUUGGACUUUUCCAUUCCUUUCAUAGGCUAAAUAUUUUUUACUUACAUGUUCAUAUUAAAAUGUAUCAGUUACAUGUAGAAAUGCAACUCUAAGUCUUUUUUUUACUCGCACGUGGCAUUCUAACAAAAACUGACGUGGUCCUCAGUCAAGGUGACAGCCAAGUUUGUUUCAUUGCUUCAUAACCAAAUGUAACCUAAAGAGUUUCUAACAUGACGCACACAUACACUUGCAGCCAGUAGCAGUUGCUUUGUUUAUUUUACAGGCUAAAAGAUGUGGAGGCCAUAACUCUAAGGCUGCCUUAAAAGCAUUCUCUUCCGGGCCCUCGGGCUCCAUGUGGAAGUCAUUAAGGCUUCCAUGCAGGUGACUGACACUGAGUGACCACUCCUCAUGAGCCAUACGUGCGAUAAUGAAGCACAGCUUCCUAUGUUAACUUUAUAUUAUUUGACAAAGAGUGGCAGAUAUUUUUUUUUCCCCAACUACUCCAUUGUCAGAGUCAUCAGGUAUGUAAUGAGCGGUACCAGGUGAAUGUUAUGGUUCCUCAGUCCUUCUAUAUUCUUCUGACAAAUCUGGUUAAGCUCAGAUUUAAAUUGAGUGACAUUGACCUACAUAUCUAUAGCUGGGAGAAUUGGAGCCUUUCAAACUGAAUUCAGGGCAUCCAUCAAAUCCUGCAUUAAGUGUAUACCAGCUUGCAAACACAAACACUACGGUGAAUAUGUUCCUCCCGACAGAAUGAAUCUAGAGAUGGAUGUCAGGAUUGUUUGGAGGAAAAGGUAAAUAGUGAAGUGGCUUUUGGACUUUAAUGUUGUGUUUACGCUGUAAUUAGUCUUCUCAGAAUGAGCCUGCUGACAGAGGGCUUGAGACUGUGUGGCAUGAUAGAAUAAACUCCAAACAGCCCCCGUCUGAAGAAUCCUUCAAUGCUCAUAAACUAAGACGCCUUGCACAAACUACCGCCUCUCGUUUUCCGAAUGGGUGGUCUGACUUUUCCUCGUCUGGCUCUUCCACCAAAACCUCUUCCUUCCACUUGUUUGGUCUUCUGUUUAUGCUACUCAUUCCACUCACUUAUGUACGUUUACAUUUUGGCCUUCAUUUUUCUCCCUGCCCCUGUUUGACCUUCAAGCUCCUAAAUGCAAAGAAUCCAUUUUGAAAUCAUACAUUUAGAGAUUUGAGUCAAUCAAAAGUUGACAUUUUAAGAGAAGCUGCAAUUUUCAAAUAUGUCUCCUCUCAAAAAGAAAGUUUUCAUGAUGAGAAAUAAAUACAAGAGACACUUGUUUUACUCCAUCGUAGUAAUUUAUAAGUGUCUCCCUGUUUUUUGCAGUUUCCUAUGAGGUGAGUUGAGCCGCAAGCUCCAGCCCACAUGGGUUAUGUCACUACGGUGUCCACCUGAGCAAACAGGACUAGGAGGUUUUCUGGGGGCAGACCAGCGGGGAACGAAUUGAAUUCUCAUCACAAACGCCAUUACACGCACGGGCUGGAGUCGACCGGAGCACCCGCCAGGGAGAGACUGUGGACCCGAAAGUUGUCCAAAGCCUGCAGUAGAAAGAUGAAGGCGUUCCAGCAGUUAUCCUCACGCAGACUUUUUUUAAAAACCUAUGAGUAAUACUUGAAUUGUCCGUAAUAGGAACACAAUGUUUUUUGAAGAGCGAAUAAGCGAUGACCUCACUUUUUGUAUAUAUAUUUUUUCCUGACACUAAACUGUCUCGAUAUCAAAACUGUCUUUGGUAUACUGGGAUGGAUGAACCCCUCUGACUUCCAAGCGGACGAUUUAUGAUUAUGAAGUGGAGCCGCCUUUCAGGAUACCACAUCUUUAUAGAAAGCAGACCUGCUCCAGUCUCCAGGCGCUCUUUUAAGUCGGCCCAAAUGCGGCACCAGAGGACCGGAGCAGCCGUCACUCAGCGGACGUUCUGGAUUUCGUUGACCCACACUACAGCGUGUUAAAGAACAGAAAGUUCAACACAACGAACUUUAAAGAAAGAAGCGGCCGGCAAUAGUCACUUAAAGUCUGGUUGAUUUCAUGAACCUGUUGUACUCUAGAACGACAAACACAUUGUCCAAAAUAGGCCUUCACAUAAAACUUGUGAUUUAAAAAAUAAAAUAAAAAUUAUGAUGA